rnacentral:ncRNA from 1 species
AAAUAAUCACCGCCGGGUGAGUGCGUCAAAUUGUAUCGUUAGGCCUUUGAAGAUGCAAAGUGACGCUUUUUUAUUGG